rnacentral:lncRNA from 1 species
AUGUUGGUUAAGCCUCAAGACAAAAAUACUCCAGAACAAAAGCAACAAACAUCAGCAUCUACAGGUUCUAAGAAACCUGGUAUUAAUGAUGUAAAACUAAAAAAUAAACUUCCAAAUUCUGAGAAGUCCCAGUCACCUUCCUCAAACAAACUGGUGAAAUCCCAAGAAAAAGUUACUCUGGGAGAGAGAAAGCAAAAGACACCAGCAGCAGAGGACAUCAGGACACCUGAAACAAAGGCUGUGAAAGUGGACAAUAAACACCAGCAAUUUGGGAAGGACCAGUCUCCUCCUUCAAGUAAAUCAUUGAAGACUGAAAAAAAUACUCCAGAAGGAGAAAAACAGCAAACAGUAUUUGAAGGGUUUAGGAAGCCUGAUACAAAUGCUGCAAAAGAGAAGAACAAAGAUCUAGGUUCUGGGACAUGCCAAUCACCAUCUUCAAAAUCUUUGGUGAAACCUCAAGAAAAGAAGAGUACAGCAGAAAAGAAGCAAUCGACACUACCAUCUGAUGAAAAUGCAACAUAUAAAGCCAGUAAUCCAGAAAAGAAGAGUAGAUCCCAUAAAACUAAGAAAUACCAGUUAUUCUCUUCAAAUCAAACAGAGAAGCAUGGCAAUGUCAAUGAUAGCACAGGAAAGGAAAGUUCUUUGAGUGACUUUAAGAGCCAUCAAGCUCCAUUGCCAAGUGAUGGUAUAAAAUGUAAAAGUGAUACAGCCCCGAAAGAGACUAUUUGGUCUGAUACUAAGAUGCACCAAAAAUCAUCACCAUUGACUGAUGUAUCAAGAUAUGAGAAAAAUCCCACUGAAAAUAGAAAAAAACAGCCUGGUUUUAAGAAGUACCGAACACUCUCUUCAAUGAAUUUGGUGAAGCAUGAGAAAGAUACCAGUGAAAGGGACGCUAGUUGGCAGGCGGCUGGUGAAACAAAUGACAGAAAAGCAGAACUGGAUGACUGCUCUAAAACAGCAGCUUACUCAAAAUACACAGUGGAAAGUUACAGUGAAAGACCCUUAGAUGCAUCUUUUAAACCAUUGGUCAUUAGAGUAGCUGAUACAUUUAAACACCACAGCUAA